GGGCUAGCGUUGUCCGGAUUUAUUGGGCGUAAAGAGCGUGUAGGCGGCCAGUUAGGUCCGGUGUGAAAACUCGAGGCUUAACCUCGAGAUGUCAUCGGAAACCAUCUGGCUAGAGUCCGGAAGAGGAAAGUGGAAUUCCUGGUGUAGCGGUGAAAUGCGCAGAUAUCAGGAAGAACACCAAUGGCGAAAGCAGCUUUCUGGGACGGUACUGACGCUGAGACGCGAAAGCGUGGGGAGCGAACAGG
rnacentral:rRNA from 1 species